rnacentral:lncRNA from 1 species
AACAUCCAAGUGAGACCGAGAUCAUAUUACAUGAUUAUUUCUUGAUAAGAUUCUGUAUUUCAUUAAGCAAAUAUAGCAACAGUUCUGAAACUAAAACAGAGUGAAUCUGCUAGCUACAUUUUUAACAAGUUGGGCAGUGUACUAGCAUAUUAUCAUUCUAGUUUACAUUUGUCAAUGCACGGAACUCCGAAUUAUUCCAAGCUAGAAAGUCUAGAUUAGAAAUCUAGAAAAUAGCUGCAUUUUGGUACAUUUAAAUAUAUGCUG